rnacentral:rRNA from 1 species
GACGGACGCUGGCGGCGUGCUUAACACAUGCAAGUCGAGCGAUGAAGUUCCUUCGGGAAUGGAUUAGCGGCGGACGGGUGAGUAACACGUGGGUAACCUGCCUCAUAGAGGGGAAUAGCCUUCCGAAAGGAAGAUUAAUACCGCAUAAGAUUGUAGUACCGCAUGGUAUAGCAAUUAAAGGAGUAAUCCGCUAUGAGAUGGACCCGCGUCGCAUUAGCUAGUUGGUGAGGUAACGGCUCACCAAGGCGACGAUGCGUAGCCGACCUGAGAGGGUGAUCGGCCACAUUGGGACUGAGACACGGCCCAGACUCCUACGGGAGGCAGCAGUGGGGAAUAUUGCACAAUGGGGGAAACCCUGAUGCAGCAACGCCGCGUGAGUGAUGACGGUCUUCGGAUUGUAAAGCUCUGUCUUCAGGGACGAUAAUGACGGUACCUGAGGAGGAAGCCACGGCUAACUACGUGCCAGCCGCCGCGGUAAAAC